rnacentral:rRNA from 1 species
UCCUUAGAUGUCCUGGGCCGCACGCGCGCUACACUGAUGCAUUCAACGAGUAUUUCCUUGGCCGAGAGGCCUGGGCAAUCUUUUAAACCUGCAUCGUGAUAGGGAUAGAUUAUUGCAAUUAUUAAUCUUGAACGAGGAAUUCCUAGUAAACGCAAAUCAUCAAUUUGCAUUGAUUACGUCCCUGCCCUUUGUACACACCGCCCGUCGCACCUACCGAUUGAAUGGUCCGGUGAAAUCUCGGGAUUGUGGCCAGUUCACUUUAUUGGGAGUUGGCUGCGAGAACUUGCUUAAACCUUAUCAUUUAGAGGAAGGUGAAGUCGUAACA